rnacentral:lncRNA from 1 species
CUGUCACGCCCCAAUCCCCGCCAAUUUGGUCGGGUUCGGGUCACGUCAACAGACGCCGAACGGACAGAGCCUCCCCUGUCCGCCCAAGGCUCUAACAACACGUAUAAUUAAGCAAUUAACAAGAGAAUUGCAUAUAUAAUACAAGGCUUGCUCGAGGGCAAGCAACAACGGAAGCGAAAGCUCUAAGCUAAAUAUACAAC